GCUGACGACCUGCUCGAUCGGGCGAGAUGUCGAGUUCUCAAAUCCAGGCAGCAGCAGCAACAAAAGGAACCUCUCCUGCCAUACAAGUAGCCAAAAUUCUAUUCGGACAGUUAGAACUACCAAAAAGGCAAAAAUAUUAGGUCUUGUGCAUACCAUGGCAAAGGCAAGGGUGACAACUACAUCUGCUGGAAAUGCUUCUGUGAACCUGCAUGCACGCGCUCCAAAUUCAGCAGCCACUUCCAGUGUUACAAUCUCAAUCAAAGCUGGAUCAGCCUCAGCCCAAUGCUCGGCACAAGAACCAACAAAGAAAAAGCAACACCAGAAGGAAUCCACUUCAAGAUUGCCUAUGCUUCUCAUGGCUCCAUGGGAUUCUGCCAAGCUCUAAUGCCUUAGCAAAACUUGUGUCUCAAUAAGUCAUUUCAACCGAACAUGUGGCUUUGCCUGUGAUGUGUGCCAAACUUAUGUGUUAUUGUGUCUGUCAUUUAUGACAAACUCGUGCCCUAUUCUGUGUUGUAAGCCGGACAUGUGGCUCAAAUUGUCCUGUAUGGUACUAUUUGAAUGUGGUAUUUCAUGCUA